ACGGGCGGUGUGUACAAGGAGCGGGGACGUGUUCACCGCGCGAUGAUGACACGCGAUUACUGGGGAUUCCAGGUUCACGAGGGCGGGUUGCAGCCCUCGAUCCCAACUACGGUGGAGUUUCAAGGAUUACCUCCCCCUUUCGGGUUCGGAACCCAUUGUCUCCACCAUUGCAGCCCGCGUGCGGCCCGGGGGAUUCGGGGCAUGCUGACCUGCCGUUGCCCCCUCCCUCCUCCACCUUAGCGGUGGCGGUCCCCCUAGUGUGCCCGCUUGCGCGGUGGCAACUAGGGGUGAGGGUCUCGCUCGUUCCUGGACUUAACCAGACACCUCACGGCACGAGCUGGCGACGGCCAUGCGCCACCUCUCAGCGCGUCGGGCAAAGUCAUCAGCUUGGCCCUCAUACUGCUGUCGCCCCCGGUAAAGUUCCCGG
rnacentral:rRNA from 1 species